ACCUUCGAUAAUGCACUAGCAAAGAGAAGCCCGAAGAGGCUGAAGUUUCCACGGAGGGCACCGUCGGGGAGACGCAGCCCGGGAGGACGGGAGGGUUGGGCUCGCUACCUCUGCACACGGGCGAGCCGGGGCUCCGUCUCUCAGCAUGUGACACCUUCUGCCAUGAGAUGAUGCUACAAGAAGAAUCUCACCGACUGCUGGCACCUUGAUACUGGACUUCACAGCCUCCAGAAUUGUGAGCCAAGAUGGAAUUUUGCCAUGUUGCCUAAGCUGGCCUUGAACUCCCGACCUCAAGCAAUCCUCCCGCCUCAGCCUCCCAAAGUGCUGGGAUUACAGGUGUGAGCCACCACAUCUGGCCAUAAUUUCUUAUUAUGCUAAACUAUCAUAUACAACUACCAGAAUCCUUUUAGCCCUUGCCUAAAACCCUCUACUCAGAAGGCACACAGAAGACACACAGAUAAUCCAUUUUAAAGCGAGAAAACAAGAUAAUUCAAGAAAAUUUAGAAGAAAAUGGAUUUCUCAGGCAACUGAAGGAACAUAUUUGGAUCUGUUAAGAUGAAAGGAGACUUCAAGAGAACUGGACUUUGUGUUGGACAGGCUGUCUGUGACAGGGAAAAACCCCUUCUGAAUGAUUAGGGAUGAAUCAGUUAACUGGCUUGAGUUUCACAUUCUUCAUCUGUAAAAUCUGGUGAUUAGACUGGUCCAGCAAAAGAUAUAAUGGGCAAAAGAUAUAAUACACAUAAAUUGGAAUGAAUCUGCAUUUUCCAAGCCUGAUGACUUUAUUAAAACUGAAUUAAGUCACUAACUAGCAGCCUGAAGAUGAAAGGAAAGAACUCAGUCAUGCUUCUUAAGGUAAAAGGGCAGUCUAACUGAGAAUUUUGUUAUCUCUGAGGACAAAUUACAAGGAGAUAAAGACACUCAAGAUCACAAGGAAGGCUUCUGCUCCCACUUAGAGACUGCAAUGUAAGGUAUGGAAACAGAAUAUUCUCUAUAGAAACAUACAUGUUAAAAUAUGAACAUUUUUGUUCUUAUUUCAAUCCAAAAAUAAAUAAAUGAAUUAAAUGUCAAAGAUA